GACCCAGUAGCCUAAUGGAUAAGGCGUUGCUGUCAAAGUCAUGCAGACUUGAACAAGCAAACUAUGGUGGCUCGAGUCCACCCUGGGUCG
rnacentral:tRNA from 1 species